rnacentral:rRNA from 1 species
AUUGAACGCUGGCGGCAGGCCUAACACAUGCAAGUCGAGCGGAUGAAGGGAGCUUGCUCCUGGAUUCAGCGGCGGACGGGUGAGUAAUGCCUAGGAAUCUGCCUGGUAGUGGGGGAUAACGUCCGGAAACGGGCGCUAAUACCGCAUACGUCCUGAGGGAGAAAGUGGGGGAUCUUCGGACCUCACGCUAUCAGAUGAGCCUAGGUCGGAUUAGCUAGUUGGUGGGGUAAAGGCCUACCAAGGCGACGAUCCGUAACUGGUCUGAGAGGAUGAUCAGGCACACUGGAACUGAGACACGGUCCAGACUCCUGCGGGAGGCAGCAGUGGGGAAUAUUGGACAAUGGGCGAAAGCCUGAUCCAGCAAUGCCGCGUGUGUGAAGAAGGUCUUCGGAUUGUAAAGCACUUUAAGUUGGGAGGAAGGGCAGUAAGUUAAUACCUUGCUGUUUUGACGGUACCAACAGAAUAAGCACCGGCUAACUUCGUG